CUCAAGGCUCUGCCUCCCAGGCUUAACCUUUAAAGGUAUAACACUUUUACAUUUACAUAGACAUAAAAAGUUACAGAACAGAAAAAUAACAAUUGUCUUGCUGGAGGUUUACAGGAACAUUAUGGCCAGACCUACUGGACAGCUGUAAGAACAAAGAAUUCCUGCACCAAGAAGUUUGCCGCAGCCAACUUCACCCCUUCCCCUUUUAGUAUAAAAGAAGCCUGAAUCCUAAUGUCACACACUUGGAGGCUGUGUACACCUCCAGGAUGGACUCAUGGUUCGAGAGAAGCUCAAAAAUGGGCAUCACAUCUCAUAGGGAAUUUUCCCGGUAGAGAUAUUUUGGAAAAAUUCUCCUUUUAGUGAAGUUUCUUCUCCAAAUGAUAAAGAGGCUUUUCAUUUCUCUAGAAGGGAAACAUUUAAAAUCAAAGAAUGGACUUGGGAAUACAAAUGGGGAGGCCUUCCUAUAAUUCUAUUUGGUUAUAUUUCUUGGUUUGAGAAUUUUUUUAAUCUAAUGAUCUUACUUUGAUCCUAGAAAGAUAUUUACAAGUCAAUUCAGUUUAACCAUUUCAUUAUCCUAGCAUACGUGGUAGGAUCAAAGCAGACAUCACAUUUAUUCAUUUUCUCACUGCCCCCUUCAACACCUUCUCUGGGUAUUUUGGGCACACUCCAACACUUCUCCAGUUCCUCUUAGUCCCAUUUGCUAUAAUAUCAAAAAUAGUAAACAUAACACUUACUCAGUUUGAAUCUUCUUUCCUUCCUUGCUCUCUCAUCCCCUAGUACCUCCCCCAGGUUUGGAAGCCUGGAAUAGGGGAGGCUGUCUUUACUGCUAUCCUGCUCUACCUCAUCUCACUUAAUAAUUUUGAUUUCUGGUCCCUACAGGGCUGGUAUGAGACAAAAGAGGUAGGAUGUCUCACCUGGCUGGCUUGGUUGUCACCUAGAACUGGACAUUGGUCAUGCACGGCUGACUCUGUCUUACUACUACCUUGGAGGUUCCAUGAGACCUUCCUUUCAUCUCUCAACGGGAUCCUCAAGAUUUUAUGUCCUCUCUUUACCUGGUGUCUCCCAAGGUAACAGACUCCUGGCUUUGUUUGAGGAUCAAUAUGCCUGGAUGAAACCCUUGCUUCCCUGCUUUUGUGUAUCUCCAAGUUGCCAGGUAAUGCAGUCUGGCUGA
rnacentral:lncRNA from 1 species